CUAGCAUUUUUACAGGUGCUCCUGUAGGAAGUGGGGUUAGCAUUUGGUAGCUGGUGCUGAAAGAAAAUCUUUGAUUGCAUCCUUGCCCUGGUAUUGUAUCUGUGACAACUGUCAUUCAACAGAACAGGA